CCUACGGGAGGCUGCAGUAGGGAAUAUUGCUCAAUGGGGGAAACCCUGAAGCAGCAACGCCGCGUGGAGGAUGAAGGUCUUCGGAUUGUAAACUCCUUUUGUUAGAGAAGAUAAUGACGGUAUCUAACGAAUAAGCACCGUCUAACUCCGUGCCAGCAGCCGCGGUAAUACGGAGGAUGCGAGCGUUAUCCGGAUGUAUUGGGUUUAAAGGGGGCGUAGGCGGGACCUUAAGUCAGCGGUAACAUUGCGGGGUUAAACGCCGUAGAGCCGUUGAAACUGGGGCUAUUGAGUUUGAGAGAGGUAUGCGGAAUGCGUGGUGUAGCGGUGAAAUGCAUAGAUAUCACGCAGAACCCCGAUUGCGAAGGCAGCAUACCGGCGCUCGACUGACGCUGAGGCACGAAAGUGCGGGUAUCGAACAGGAUUAGAUACCCUGGUAGUC
rnacentral:rRNA from 1 species